AGACCAAGAAGUGUUCUCUUAAAUUAAGGGAGAGGUAUUGUCAGUGGCAAAUUGAGGAAUCUGAUGCAUUGGUGGAAUAUUGCAUGUGCAUGGUCAUGAAAUUAUACUUCUGUCAGAAUCAAUGCUGCAAUCCUCAAGGUCUGAAAAUUGGAGGUUUUGUACCAACCUCUGCUAAUCAGCAGGGAUCGAUCAAAAGAUGUGCUUAAAUUAAGUAACACUACUAGUUUUGUAAAGAAAAUGAAACAUUUGUCUUGAUGACAUAUACUAGACUUGUUGAAAUAGUUGAACUGAGGCAAUGAUAGCAAUUCAGGCAUUUUUGGGGAACAUUUUAAAAAAUGUACUUGUUUUUAAAAAGUAAAUUUAUAUUUGACCCAUAAUUUUCUCAGAACCAAUCCAAUAUUCAUCACUACAUUAAACAUAUUUUCAGAGGUCAAGUAUUACUAACAGUGAUUUGAGCUCUAGGUGUGGAAAUAGAAAUCACAAAAUGUUAAUAAUAAAUGAAAAUUUUAAUAAAUUUUAUAUAUUUUAUACAUAAUUUACAUAAUACAUACUGUACUGUAAUUUAGUAUUUAUGACAACAAGUAUUUAUAAUCAUUGAAAAUUGUAUUGACAGAAUUUAAUUACAUUAAUAAGGGGGCAUUCAUUAUUGAUGUGGGGGGGGGGAUGGGUGAGAAACUGGGGGGACCUGAGAUUUUCCCAGAUGAAAAGGGGGACUGCAAUUCUGGUAUUAAAACCAAAUCCUGGGGGUACCUGACAUUGAAGGAAGACACAUCUACACAUUUCAAAAUUCAUGAUGAGGGUAAAAACAAAAAGAAAUCAG